rnacentral:rRNA from 1 species
UACGAAGGAUCCAAGCGUUAUCCGGAUUUAUUGGGUUUAAAGGGUGCGUAGGUGGGCUAUUAAGUCAGUGGUGAAAGCUUCCCGCUUAACGGGAAAAUUGCCAUUGAUACUGAUGGUCUUGAGUGCAUUUGAAGUGGGCGGAAUGUGUCGUGUAGUGGUGAAAUACUUAGAUAUGACACAGAACACCAAUUGCGAAGGCAGCUCACUAAACUGUAACUGACACUGAGGCACGAAAGCGUGGGGAUCAAACAGG